rnacentral:lncRNA from 1 species
CAGUACCGUUCCAAGCUCCGUGGGGGAACAGGUAACAAAUAUAUACAAAAUAGAAUUCAAAUUUCAAAGAUUGUUUGUUACAACAUAACAAGGGUACAAAGCAAACAGACAAUGACACUUUAGAAAACGAAGAAGAAGACGAGGAAGGAAGGAGCAAAGGCAUGGGAAAACAGAAAAAAGAAGGAAGGGAAUCAGAUAAUGAAAUAGUACAAAACGAAGAAAAAGACGAGGAAGGAUGGGAAAAAGAAAUGAAAAACGGGUAACAAAUAUAUACCAGAAUAAACAUACUAGUUUGAAACAUUCUUUUUUAUAAUAGAAAGAGGAAAGAAGGCAUCCGUCGACUGACGCUUCCGAGGCCAGCGAGACGGCUGCUGCUGAGGCUGAAUCGUAUGAAAUCACGGUCAAAGCGAAUCGAUCAUUCGCGGACAGAAUCGGGGCGGUUACGCGUUCAAAAUUGGCAAUUGAAAAUAGAGAUCCUAAAUUGGCACAAUUGCCUCAUGUAAAAAUAAGCCGUCUGCUGUCAUCUAUUGCUCACCAGGAAAAAAGAACAGAAACAGGAAGAGGAGAAGGAAAAGGAGCAGGAAGAGGAACAGGAAGAGGAUCAGGAAGAGGAUCAGUAUCAGGUUCAGGAACAGGUUUAGGAACAGGAACAUGUACAGGAAGAGGGAGAGGGAGAGGGAGAGGAACAGGAACAGGAACAAGAACAGGAAAAGGAAGAGGAAUAAGAACAGGAACAGAAACAGAAACGGGAACAAGACGAGUAGGAAGACCACGAAAAGAAGAAAAACGUUUGUUGAAGCAGUAAAAUUAACAUUGUGCGUACUUUUUGUGUAUGUUUAAAAAUAACUGGCAGUAACCUAGUCCUUAUUUUGAUAUUAAUCCGGUCAGGCAAGAGGAAUACAACGAAUUCAGAAGCAGAA